UGGGAUGGGAGGUAAGGCCACACAGUUGGGGGCUUUUUCAUAUGAGAUCCUUUCAUUCUCACAGAGCCCCUAAGAUAGUGCUUUUCUCUACAGAAACACAAAGCAGGCUCAGAGAGGCUGAGAAACCCAACAAAAGUGACACAGCAGUAAGGCUCAGAACUGGGACUCAGACCUAAUCUGGCCAUCCCCACUGCCCCAGGCCCUCUCAGCAGGCACAACACAAGGCCCUGCAGGUGACCAGCUCUGAUUCUGCAGAGUGACAUCACAAGGCCGCUGGGCAGAAAGGUGGAACUGGCACUCCAGGCAGGUCAGAGGAGUGGGGCUGGCCCACCACUCUCUCCAUGCUGAAGUCUCCCAGGGACAGCACGCCUGCUUCACAAGCUUGUGGUUUCCAGGCUCCCACAUUGGCUUUUCUGUACCUUGGAUGCACCGAGCUCUUUCCAGCUUUGGGGUCUUCGCACCUGCUUACAGGACGGCUCCAACCCAACAUCAGGAGCUCUGCUCCAGGCUCACCUCCCAGGAAGGCCUCCUAUGACCACAGCCUCCAUUGCUGCCUUUCUUGUCACCAGCCCUUUCUUGUUCAUUUGUUUACAUGUUUACCAUGCCCUGCUCCCAUGGCCCUGAGCAUAAACCCUGAGAGCGGUGACCUCAUCCCUAAGAACUUGGCACAAGUA
rnacentral:lncRNA from 1 species